GUGCUUGUUCUGGCAACACAUACACUAAAAUAAAAACAAUACAGAGAUCAGCAUGGCCCCUGCACAAGGGUGACACACAGCUCUGCGAAGCAUUCCAUACCUUA
ensembl:snRNA U6 U6 spliceosomal RNA